CUGGAACGCGCCCCAGGCGCACCCAGAAACCCUUUGUGAACUUUAUACCUUACCGUUGCCUCGGCGCCAGCUGGUCCUCCGGGGCCCCUCACCCGCCUGCGGGUGUUGAGAGAGCACGCCGGCGGCCAACCUAACUCUUGUUUUUACACUGAAACUCUGAGAAUAAAACAUAAAUGAAUCA
rnacentral:misc_RNA from 1 species